GGAAGUAAAAGUUGUAACAAGGUCUCCGUUGGUGAACCAGCGGAGGGAUCAUUACAGGACUCGCAAGACUCCUACAACCCUGUGAACUUAACUAUAAGCACGUUGCUUCGGCGGGUGUCUCGGAGGGGGUUCUCCCUCCCCGAGACGCUAAACCCGCCGGCAGCCUACUAUACUCUGUCUCUUUGCGUUGGCAUCUCGAGUACAAUCAAACAAGUUUAAACUUUCAACAACGGAUCUCUUGGUUCUG
rnacentral:misc_RNA from 1 species